rnacentral:misc_RNA from 1 species
CGACUCCUUUCUCCAACAUUUCCUGAAACAGCUGGAUAGCUUCAAUCUCAUGCCCAUGAUGAGCAUAACCACCUAUCAUGACAUUGUAAAGGAUAAAAUCUCUUUCGCUAACUUUUUGGAAAAUAUUUUCUGCAUAUCAUACUCCCACAUUUUGAAUACAUGUCAAUGAUAGCAGUGGUCAUUUAAUUAUCCAUUGCAAUCCCCGUUCUGAAAACAUUACCAUGAGUUUUCUUCCCCGGACUAAAUGCAGCUUGCAAUGCACAGGCCCAAAGCAAGCUCACAAGGAUCAAAGCAUCGGGAACUAUUAAUUCCUUAGCCCUAAACUCAUUAGAAAGUUCGAAAACAGAUUCACAUUGCUGUAAUUUGACAUACCCAAUAAACAAAGCUGUCCAAACAAUAGCAUUCUUCUCUAUCAAGUAAUUUUACCAUUACGCUAAAGCCACCCUCUAACCAAAUGGCCAAAACCAAUAAAAAUAACAAUUAACACCAAAGCAUCAGCCGUCACAAGAAGUAAUACAAGUAUAGGAUAAGAAUGUUCCAACACUCAUUUUGAGGUAACCAUUACAUAUAACCCAUCAUAGUACUCCAUGCUGAGAAAGUAUUAGAACUUACGCCUAAGUAUAUUUCUGAAUUAGUUGCAAGAUUGGAGAAUCAUUGCCACCAUAAAAGGAAUCUUUUCAUUCUCUUGUCUUCAGAAUUUAGGUUGAAGGCUUGAUUUCCCCUGAAAAAGUCAGACAUGAACCUCCCAAGGAAAUUGGUAUGUCUAAUCAAGCACCCUUGCUGCUUCUUGAGGUUAGGAAAACCAUGAUACCAUCUGAGAAGCUCCAAGUUCUGCUUGAUUACAACAAUAUGACUAGUUCAACAUUUCAAGGUUGUAUUUUUACAGCAUGGAUUGAUGGAACAAAACUUUGGCAGCAGAAUACACCAGCCCUGCAUCAUCUGCAAUAGAGGCCAAACUAAAUGAUGAAGGCACAUUGGUCUCUGCCUCAACAGUAUGUUUGGCAACUGCCAUACCAACUGCCACACUCUGCAUAAUAUCUAAGCCUUCACAAAGGGAAGCAAGUGUCCCACCAACCAAGCAGUCACCAGCCCCUGUAAGCCUCACAACUGAGGCUGGAAGGGCAGGAAAAUGCACAGCAAAAAGAUGAGAACUCCCCUGACCCUGCAUAGCACCAAAAAAUUUAUUUGAUGGACAGCUUGAUGCUACAAUAUCAUACAACCAUCCAUUAAAUCCAUAUCUUUUGGUUCUUUCCAAACUACUUCUCAUGAAGUUUGGCUCCUUAGAGCAUAAGAACACUCCAUCUGCACCAAGAGUCACAACAACUAUCUUAAUACCCUUUUCUAGCAAAACCAAGAUGGCAGGCUUUAACAUUUGGAAUAAGGACUCUGUUGAGCACUUUCUGCAAUUAUCUUUUUCAACUGGAUGAAAAGUAUUUCCACAAGACAAAGCAUUUGCCAUGGCAAUAAGCUCAUCUUCAUUGGGCGAUGCAAAAGUUACGUUGUUGACAAUUGAGGUGAUUCUCAUGGAUUUUGCAACUGAAACAGGCUCAAACCAAACUGGGAUGUUAUAUUCUGCUGCCACUGAGAAAAAAACAGUUUACUGGAAAAGGGGGGAAAAUGACGAAUGUGGGAGAGGGGAAAUUAGGAGUGGCAUCAAGUUCAUAAACAACUAUAUCACGUAUACAUGCAAAAGAGAGUACAGUGGUAUGUUAUAAGUACCUUGACAAGAAGCUUCUAAAGCUGGGGGUGUCAGAUUUGCAUCAACCAGCAGUACAGAAGCAGAAGAAAUAUUACACUUAGAUUGCAGAAUCCACUCGGGGGUGAGGAAUUUUUCAACUGCUUCCACAUUUGCAACUGCAGCCAUCAACUCUCCACUGGUGUCAAAAAUGUUGCAUAUGACAGCAGUUCUGAUAUUUUGGUGUUUUCGGAUGCCUAUUCCAUCAAUACAUUGACGCUUAAUUUGAUUGCCAAGAAAACAAUAAAAAAUAAAAAUAAAAACUUCCAAGUAAAGGACCACAUUUCCUCUCCAAAUGCUAUAAAUGCCCCUGAUUCAAAACUUUAAUCCAAGUAAGUACGAAUAGAAAGAGGCUUUUCCUCUCCCUAAAAACAUAAAAAUAGUAAAGGUUAUCUACUUGAGUUCACUCUGUUUUCCUAUACAAAAACUUCUAACCAAACCAGAUAUAAUCCAGGAAAUACCAACAAUUAUGUAAAGAACAUUCCACAACUUCCAACUCAUGCCACAAUCUAAAAGCUGGAAAUUAACCAAUUUUGUAUUAUGUUCCAAAUUUAACCAAUUUUGUAUUAUAUUCCAAAUAAUCUAUUCACCAAGCUGAUCCUCAUCUAUGUUUUGGAAAUUGCUGCAUGUUAAAAUCCUCUGAAUCCACCUCCCAAGGAAAAGAAUUCUCCAAAAGAGAGAGAAAAAAAGAAAAGGUUAAGGUUUUAAAUGCUGUUUUGAGAUUUUUCAGCACUUUCAGUUACCCAACUCAUACAUACCAUUCUACCUAAUUAUUUAAAUCCAAAUCAUUUUGAGGCGGACUCCAUAUUCCUCAGUGUGCCAAUAUCACCAGCAAUUUCCGUAAGAAAUAUGCCCUAGGCAUCAACCAUGGUUUAAGAAACAAGACAUUGAUCUAAUACUAAAUAAAUCCAAUUGGUUAGUCAGGGAUUCCAAUGGCAAGAAAACAGGUUCAUCCCAGCAGGUUAUUCAUAUAUCAAAUGUAAUUGUUAGAUUACUAUGGUCUUUUAAAGUGGCAAGCCAAGUAAGAUUUGGAAUUAAAACCUAUAGGGCUACUGUAUGUGCAUGAGGAACAGAGAUAAAAUACAUUUGCUGUGAACAAGCUAUAGUCACCCCAGAUUAUUUAGUUUCUGAACAUAAAAGUUUAACCUUCUGUGGAUAGCCCAGCAGAAUUCCAGUACUCCAACAGCAUGCUCCCAGCGAUAUCAAUGCCCACAGCACUAAUCAUGUAAGACUUAGUUCCAAGCUUUGACAUGCACUCGGCAAUAUUCCUGGCUACACCUCCCAGUGCAUAUUGGACCUUACCGGGAGUGGUGGUUCUAGGACUCGGAUGGAUGGAUGGAGUGGCAUGAAUAUCCAAUAUCAUGCCCCCUAUAACUACUGGGUGUGCCUCCUCUUGCCUCGUUUGCCCACCUUUUAAUAAAACCGUGUAAAAAGCAAGACUGUUAACUUCAGGUGGCAGCAAAAGGUGACGAGAAACACAAUCCAGUCUCCUCUGCACACUGCUCUCCAUUUUCUGAAUCCAAUUCCAAUCUCCCCAAAAGACCCAGUACGUGAAAACUGAAAUGGGUACAUAAUAUUAAGAACAGUGAGAAAAGAAAGGAAAACGAUUUUCCAUUGAUUGUUUUUUUAUUGAUUCUGUUUAUCGGUUAUUUAUCUUUUCCAUAAUUGAUUUUGAUUAAACUCAAAUUUAUCAAUUUUUAGAUCCCACUGAAGAUUCUCUUUUUCUACUUUUGAAGCGCUAGUUUAUGAAAAUUAGCCAAGAAAGCCGAAAAUUUAAUUAAAAUAAAAAGAAAUUUAAUUGUAAUGAGAAAAAAACAUCUGGUUUGUAUCG